UGGCCAGUUAAGAAACUGCUCUUUUUUUUUAGUCAUAAGAAUUGAAUUUCAUUCUUGCUCAAUCUGACUUGGAUGAAGGGUAUUCUUUGGGGAGAGAGACUGAGAAGGUCAAAGUUCAGAAUGGCUGUAAUUGCCUCUCAGUGGAGACGCCUAGAAAGGCUGAAAUGGAAAUCAGUGUUUUUGCCAAGGAAAGAGAUUUCCAGAUGAAUUAGAGAUUGCAAAGGGGAGAAGGUGUAAAAAGGAAUAAUUAUAUUUUCAAGCUCAAUCCAGUACUUGAAGAUUGUGUCCUGUGAGUUGGUGGAUGGCAUGUUAGGUCAGCUGUGCUUGAAGUGUCUAAACAUCUGUAACACUAGCAAAGGGAUAGCUACAGGAAUGUCAGAAAUAAUCAUGUUCAAAACGCAAUUUCUUCCCAGGAGGUAUCGCUGACUACACAGUGCCUAGAAACUCAAGUGUCAUUCAAGUCUUUCCAGACAGAAGAGGAUUUCUGUGGCAGGUGUGCAUCAAGAAUAAGACCGGUUGUCCCGACAGGUCUACAACCAAGAUCUGAGAAUCUCAGAUGGAGAAGAAAGGGGACGCAGGAGCGAGAUAUACCAGCCAGUUAAGUGGUGUGGCAGCAACAACCUUCCACUCAACACCAGUAAGACCAAAAAGCCGAUUAUGGACUUCAGAAAGGAUAAGAUGAGGGAACUCACACCAGUCCUCAGAGGGAUCGGAAAUGGAGAGAGUGAGCAAUUUCAAGUUCAUGGGUGUUAAUAUCUCUGAAGACCUAACCUGGUCCUGAUAUAUCGAUGCAGCUACAAAGAAGCUCUUCAUCAGGAUUGCAAAGGAAGAGGGCAAGAACCAGGAUAAGAUUUGCCUCAAUGACCAUCAGCCAGAGUAACACAAACAUCCACAGUAAUGAAGUGCUUCAAGAAGUCGGUGAUGAAACACAUCAACCCCUGCCUGAGAAGCAACUUGGAUUCACUCCAAUUUGCCUACCGUCACAACAGGUCAACAGCAGAUGCCAUUUCAUUGGCUCUUCACUCAAUCCUGGAACAUCUGGACAGCAAAGAUACAUACGUCAGGAUGUUCUUCAUUGACUACAGCUCAGCCCUCAAUACCACCAUCUCCUCAAACCUAAUUUAGUCCUAGAGCUCAUUACCUCCUUGUACAACUGGAUCCUCGAUCUCCUCAUUUGCAGACCCCAGUCAGUCCAAAUUGGUAACAUCUCCUCCACAAUUUUCCUCAGCAUCCUAUCUGCUUUAUACUUAUGGCAGUAAAGCUAAGCACAGCUCCAUGCCAUAUUUAACACCACCGUCGCUGGCCAAAUCAAAGGUGGUGACAAGUUAGCAUACAGGAGUGAGACUGAAAAUCUGACUGAGUGGUGCCAUAGCAAAACCUCACACUAAUCGUCAGCAAGAACAAGGAGCUGGUUAUUGAGCUGGUUAUUAUAAGAGGAGGAAACCACAUGCCCAUGAUCUGGCCAUCGUCAGGGGGAAUCAGAGGUGGAGAGGGUCAGCAACUUUAAAUUUCUCAGUGUUAUCAUCUCCUGAGCACAGUACUUAAGUGCAGUUAUGAAGAAAACACAGUAGCACCUCUACUUCCUUAGAGGUUAGCAAAGAUUUGGCAUGAUAUCUAAAACAUUAACAAACUUUUAUAGAUGUGUGAUAUCAGGCCUUGAUGCAACCAGUCUAUAAGAAAACACUAAUGCCCCUGAAUAGGAAACCCUACAAAAAGUAGUGGAUACAGCCCAGUCCAAUUCGGAUAAAGCCCUCCCCACCAUUGAGCAAAUCUACAUUAAACGCUGUUGCAGGAAACAGCAUCAAGGGCACCCACCACCCCGGCCAUUCUCUCACUGCUGCCAUCAAGAGGAAAGUACAGGAGCCUCAGGACUCACAGCUCCAGGUUCAGGAAUAAUUAUUAUCCCUCAGCCAUCAGGCUCUUGAACCAGAGGAGAUAUUUUCAAUUGCCGCAUCACUGAAGUGUUCUCACAACCGAUGGACUUACUUUCAAGGACUCAUGUCAUGUUCUCAAUAUUCAUUGCUUAUUUAUUUACUUUUUAUGCAUUUGCACAGUUUGUUGUUUUUUUUGCACAUUGCUAUUGUCCAUGGUCCUUCAUUGAUUCAAUUGUGGUUCUUGUAUUUACUAUGAUUGCCUGCAAAGAAAAUGAAUCUCAGGGUUAUAUAUGAUGACGUUUCAGUACUUUCAUAAUAAAUUUUCUUUGAAUUCUGUCUUCUGGUUUAUAUUAUCCAAAAUUACAUUGUUGAAAGACAAGUAUCA